UAAAUCGCGAGAGAUAGUCUGGAGGAAGCCGCUAGCAAAUCUGUGAGCUGAUGAACAAAAACAUCAUAUGAGGCGUAGGCUGG
rfam:Pseudoalteromonas citrea DSM 8771 strain NCIMB 1889 contig107, whole genome shotgun sequence.